rnacentral:lncRNA from 1 species
AUGAUGAAAAGGAUAUCUUUUCUGGGUGUUAGUUCUAAGAAGGUCUUGCAGGUCUUCAUAGAACCAUUCAACUUCAGCUUCUUCAGCAUUACUGCUUGGGGCAUAGACUUGGAUUACUGUUAUAUUGAAUGCUUGGCCCUGGAAAUGAACACAGAUAAUCUAAGUGGUAUGAUUACUCACCCAGAGUCAGACAUUCUGGGAUGCGAAGUCAAGUGGGCCUUAGGAAGCAUCACUAUGAACAAAGCUAAUGGAGGUGAUAGAAUUCCAGUUGAGCUAUUUCAAAUCCUGAAGGAUGAUGCUGUGAAAGUGCUGCAGUCAAUAUGUCAGCAAAUUUGGAAAACUCAGCAGUGGUCACAGGACUGGAAAAGGUCAGUUUUCAUUCCAAUCCCAAAGAAAGGCAACACCAAGGAAUGUUCAAACUAUCACACAACUGCACUCAUGUUACACACUAGUACAGUAAUGCUCAAAAUUCUCCAAGCCAGGCCUCAACAGUAUGUGAACUGUGAACUUCCAGAUGUUCAAUCUAGAUUUAGAAAAGGCAGAGGUACCAGAGAUCAAAUUUCCAACAUCUGCUGGAUCAUCGAAAAAGCAAGCGAGUUCCAGAAAAACAUCUAUUUCUGCUUUCUUGACUAUGCCAAAGACUUUCACUGUGUGGAUCACAAUAAACUGUGGAAAAUUCUGAGAGAGAUGGGAAUACCAGACCACCUGACCUGCCUCUUGAGAAAUCUGCAUGCAGGUCAGGAAGCAACAGUUAGAACUGGACAUGGAACAACAGACUGGUUCCAAAUAGGAAAAGGAGUACGUCAAGACUGGAAAUUAUCACCCUGCUUAUUUAACUUCUAUGCAGAGUACAUCAUGAGAAACACUGGGCUGGAUGAAGCACAAGCUGAAAUCAAGAUUGCCGGGAGAAAUAUCAAUGACCUCAGAUAUGCAGAUGACACCACUCUUAUGCCAGAAAGUGAAGAAGAACUAAAGAGCUUCUUGAUGAAAGUGAAAGGGGAGAGUGAAAAAGUUGGCUUAAAGCUCAACAUUCAGAAAAUUAAGAUCAUGGCACCUGGUCCCAUCACUUCAUGGCAAAUAGAUGGGGAAAUAGUGGAAACAGUGUCAGACUUUAUUUUGGGAGGCUCCAAAAUCACUGCAGAUGGUGACUGCAGCCAUGAAAUUAAAAGACGCUUGCUUCUUGGAAGAAAAGUUAUCACCAAUCUAGACAGCAUAUUAAUAAGCAGAGACAUUACUUUACCAACAAAGGUCCAUCUAGUCAAAGCUAUGGUUUUUCCAGUAGUCGUGUAUGGAUGUGAGAGUUGGGCUAUUUAG